CAAGGGAGAACAAUAUGUUUUCAGACAAGAUUUAGAAAGAAAUGUUAUGUUAAUACCAGUUUGGCGUCAUACUGUCAUAACACCAUCAAGAUGACAUGCUGUCACCACUAAUAUGACUGUUUAGGGAAUAUGCAACACGAACAAAAAAGCAAUUCACUCAGAAACAAACCAGGAUGAGUCUACAUUGUAGGAAAACAGAACGAUGCUGCACUCCGAGGGAGCACCAUGCAGAUGCUCAGUGCUGGCUGAGAGCAGCAGGAAGGCACAAGGAGCACUGAGCAGAACUUGUUCCAUUGUAUCUGCCCACAGCCUUUGAGCCUUCACUGGGAUAAUCUGUUCAUAAGAGAGAAACAGUUUAAGGAUGACUGUUCUGGUGUUAAUUAAAAAGCCCUACAGUUCUUUCCUAAUAAAACCACUUUUCUUCUAAGAUCUUCCUCGAUUUGUUUUAAUACCUGUCCCUAAUUAAGUCCGGUGAGAGGAAUUCACUACAUCAAAUGAGUUAAAAAUGGCUGUUCUCAAGGCACCUGCGUCUGAAGGAAUUUAUUUUGAAGUCCCUGAAUUGAAUUAAGAAGGGACAUUUCCAAACUGAUGGCUCCCUUUUGAAUAGCGCAAGCAGGCUGCCAUUGGCACUAGGUUAAAAAUCACAGUACUUGCUUUCCUGUGUAAUCUGGGGAGAAUUCAGCUGGCUGGGUGGUAAAUAGUCACCAGGUUGGAUGGGGCAUCAUGAUCAGGCAGUAUGAUCUAAUGGGUGGCAGCCCUGUCCAUAGCUGGAGGCUGGAACUGGAUGAUCUUUAAGAUCCCUUUCAACCCAACCACUCUAUGUCUAGUUCCUUGAUUCUAUGAUGCUACAAUUCUAUGAUUAAAGAUUCUGGACUGUAUGUUGGAGUCUUUUGGACUGAGGCUCAGUAUCAUAUCACCUGGUGAUGCCCCACCAUGCUGACAGCCCCUUGUUGGCCAACAGGGUCCUGGUAUGAGCCCUGUGCGCAUCCCAUGAGAGCUGGGCUGACAGGUUGGAUACAGCAGCUGCUAUACAUGGAGCAUGUGAGGAGAAAGCCUGCAGAAAAAGCGAUCAAUCAAUGCCGGGUGAUGCGCUGGGACGGAGCAUAAGCUGCUCAAAAGCCACCCCAUCUCCAGCUGAGCCUCGGGUGAGCUAAAUUCAUUCCUGGUGUCAGGCCAGUGAAGCACACAAUUAUGCAGGAAAGAUUUCGGUCUGUGCUGUCUUGUUACGUUAGGCCUCCGCACCAGGAGCUGGAAAGAUUGUGGCCAAGAAUUUGCUUAUGGAAGAAUGAUAAAGUGCCCUGUUCGAUCUCUUCCUUCCCACCUGCUGGGUUUUCUCUUUUAAAACCUGAAAAAUAAGGCAGCACAAUUUGCUGCGAGAGCUUUGACCCACGAGUUGGUUUUCUCAUAUUGCUA
rnacentral:lncRNA from 1 species